rnacentral:rRNA from 1 species
UGGGAACUGCGUUNUGAACUGGGUGACUAGAGUGUGUCAGAGGGAGGUAGAAUUNCACGUGUAGCAGUGAAAUGCGUAGAGAUGUGGAGGAAUNCCGAUGGCGAAGGCAGCCUCNUGGGAUAACACUGACGUUCAUGCCCGAAAGCGUGGGUAGCAAACAGGUUUAGAUACCCUGGUAGUCCACGCCCUAAACGAUGUCGAAUAGCUGUUGGGCAGCAUGACUGCUUAGUAGCGAAGCUAACGCGUGAAAUCGACCGCCUGGGGAGUACGGUCGCAAGAUUAAAACUCAAAGGAAUUGACGGGGACCCGCACAAGCGGUGGAUGAUGUGGAUUAAUUNGAUGCAACGCGAAGAACCUUACCUGGUCUUGACAUGUACGGAACCCUCCAGAGACGGAGGAGUGCCUUCGGGAGCCGUAACACAGGUGCUGCAUGGCUGUCGUCAGCUCGUGUCGUGAGAUGUUGGGUUAAGUCCCGCAACGAGCGCAACCCUUGUCAUUAGUUGCCAUCAUUAAGUUGGGCACUCUAAUGAGACUGCCGGUGACAAGCCGGAGGAAGGUGGGGAUGACGUCAAGUCCUCAUGGCCCUUAUGACCAGGGCUUCACACGUCAUACAAUGGUCGGUACAGAGGGUAGCCAAGCCGCGAGGCGGAGCCAAUCUCACAAAACCGAUCGUAGUCCGGAUUGCACUCUGCAACUCGAGUGCAUGAAGUCGGAAUCGCUAGUAAUCGCAGGUCAGCAUACUGCGGUGAAUACGUUCCCGGGUCUUGUACACAC